AUAUUGAAUGUUUUUAAACGUUUACCCUUCUAGAAUGGCACUCCUGUGACCUGGAAGCAAAAGUUCAUAAUACCUAAAUACCUUCAACAGUCCUGAAAAUGAUGAUACUUUUCACUUACACGGAGUUUUUACUUGUACUGCUCUUCACAUGGGUUGCCGGCGAUGUCCAGGUUUUCUCGAGUUAUGAUUUUAGCCCACCAGUGUUGAUCGCAGAAUUCAGCGAUCUUCCGGCAGCCUUUGGCAAUGAUAUACCAUCAAAAGGGAUUGUGGCCAACUACGUUUAUGCCAAUCCUGAGCAUGCCUGUACGUUGAUUGAACCACCGCCAAGCAAUGCUUCCAAUCCGGCCCAGUUCUGGGGCGUACUCAUUAAAAAGGGCAAUUGUACGUUCGAAGAAAAAGUAUAUUCGGCUCAAAUGGCUGGGUACAAUGUAGCCAUCGUCCAUAACGUUGGUUCAAAUAAUCUAGUGACUAUGCGGGCUGCAGACCCUUUUCGAGUAUGGAUUCCAUCCGUUUUUAUCGGUGAGACAGCUGCUACAAUUAUUAAAAGCAGAUAUCUUUAUUACUCAGGUUGUACUAUCCGAAUAGAAGAAUUGGUCGAUAAGAACAUUUUGAUACCACUAUUUAUUGUUGUAACAGUCUGUAUGAUCGUAAUGGGUGCCAUCAUGGUUGCAAAAUGUAUAAAAGAUUAUCGGAGGGCUAGAAGAAGGAGAUUGCCGUGUUCGUACCUUUCUCAAAUUCCAACAGCAAAAUACAAGAAAAAUGACCCAUAUGAAACAUGUGCAAUAUGUUUGGACGAUUUUAUUGAAGGUGAAAAAUUGAGAAUACUCCCCUGUUCCCACUCGUAUCAUUGUAAAUGCAUUGACCCAUGGCUGACGAGAAACAGGAGGGUUUGCCCGAUGUGCAAACGACGUGUCUUCGGUCAAAAUGAACGCAAUGUCGAAGACUCCGAAUCGAAUAAUGAAGACGAUGACAACACACCGUUGUUAAGAAGUGCUCAGCCAACAAAUGGUGGAACUUUUGCAGUUCCUUCCCCAGUGGCGCAAUUGGUUAGCGCACAGUACUUAUUACAGUAAUGUUUAUCAAAGGAAAAUAUUUUAAAACUGAUUACUGUUACAAUUGUUAAGCUAGAUUUAAGCAAUAUCAUAUUUAUAAUAUUUUAAGAAACUUUUAAACUGAAAAGGCAGUAUUGUUCAACAUUUGACACCACACUGGAAAAGACACCAAAAGGACGGAAAAAUUUAAUUAAGUUUGGGAUAUUCUAUUUUAGAAGAGCCCUAAUUCAUCUAAAUACCACUCACUAUUUGUAAAAGAAACUUCAACUCUCCGUUUUCUCAAGCAGUCAUAAGCAAUUUUGAAAAUUGCACUAAUGAUUUAGACAUUGGUCCGAUAAAUGAUGG
rnacentral:misc_RNA from 1 species